rfam:Ficedula albicollis isolate OC2 chromosome 1, whole genome shotgun sequence.
CUCUAGGUGUUUUUCAACACCACCCAGAAUAAUCUUUUCCAUUAUUU